rnacentral:rRNA from 1 species
UGGGGAAUCUUGCGCAAUGGGCGAAAGCCUGACGCAGCAACGCCGUGUGUGCGAUGAAGGCCCUCGGGUCGUAAAGCACUGUUUACGGGAAAGAUGGGUUCCGUUCGUAAUAUGGACGGGAUUUGACGGUACCCGUGUAGGAAGCACCGGCUAACUCUGUGCCAGCAGCCGCGGUAAUACAGAGGGUGCAAGCGUUGUUCGGAAUUAUUGGGCGUAAAGCGCGCGUAGGCGGUCAUUCAAGUCGGAUGUGAAAGCCCGGGGCUCAACCUCGGAAGUGCAUCCGAAACUGGGUGACUUGAAUCCUGGAGGGGGCAGUGGAAUUCCCGGUGUAGAGGUGAAAUUCGUAGAUAUCGGGAGGAACACCAGUGGCGAAGGCGACUGCCUGGACAGUGAUUGACGCUGAGGUGCGAAAGCGUGGGUAGCAAACAGGAUUAGAUACCCCCGUAGUCC